UACGGGGGGAGCAAGCGUUGUUCGGAUUUACUGGGCGUAAAGGGCGCGUAGGCGGCCACCGCAAGUCGGUUGUGAAAUCUCCGGGCUUAACCUGGAAAGGUCAAUCGAUACUGCGGGGCUAGAGUGCAGAAGGGGCAACUGGAAUUCUCGGUGUAGCGGUGAAAUGCGUAGAGAUCGGCAGGAACACCCAGGGGGAAACCAGUCGACUGGGCAUCUACUGACGCUGAGGUGCGAGAGCGUGGGGAGCGAACCGG
rnacentral:rRNA from 1 species